AUCGCUUCUCGGCCUUUUGGCUAAGAUCAAGUGUAGUAUCUGUUCUUAUCAGUUUAAAUGGAACAUCAUUACUCAUAAGAACAACUGUUCCUCUUCUGGGUCAGUGCUCAGAGAUGGUCGAAGUGGUCUAGUGUCUGACCUACUGGUAUGGCUUUUCCUAC
rnacentral:snRNA from 1 species